GACGAACGCUGGCGGCGUGCCUAAUACAUGCAAGUUGAGCGCUGAAGGUUGGUACUUGUACCGACUGGAUGAGCAGCGAACGGGUGAGUAACGCGUGGGGAAUCUGCCUUUGAGCGGGGGGCAACAUUUGGAAACGAAUGCUAAUACCGCAUAAAAACUUUAAACACAAGUUUUAAGUUUGAAAGAUGCAAUUGCAUCACUCAAAGAUGAUCCCGCGUUGUAUUAGCUAGUUGGUGAGGUAAAGGCUCACCAAGGCGAUGAUACAUAGCCGACCUGAGAGGGUGAUCGGCCACAUUGGGACUGAGACACGGCCCAAACUCCUACGGGAGGCAGCAGUAGGGAAUCUUCGGCAAUGGACGAAAGUCUGACCGAGCAACGCCGCGUGAGUGAAGAAGGUUUUCGGAUCGUAAAACUCUGUUGGUAGAGAAGAACGUUGGUGAGAGUGGAAAGCUCAUCAAGUGACGGUAACUACCCAGAAAGGGACGGCUAACUACGUG
rnacentral:rRNA from 1 species